CAGUAGCCGCGGGAAUACGAAGGGGGCUAGCGUUGUUCGGAAUUACUGGGCGUAAAGCGCACGUAGGCGGAUAUUUAAGUCAGGGGUGAAAUCCCAGAGCUCAACUCUGGAACUGCCUUUGAUACUGGGUAUCUUGAGUAUGGAAGAGGUGAGUGGAAUUCCGAGUGUAGAGGUGAAAUUCGUAGAUAUUCGGAGGAACACCAGUGGCGAAGGCGGCUCACUGGUCCAUUACUGACGCUGAGGUGCGAAAGCGUGGGGAGCAAACAGGAUUAGAUACCCGCGUAGUCCCUGUCUCUUAUAC
rnacentral:rRNA from 1 species